rnacentral:rRNA from 1 species
AAUCAACGCUGGCGGCGUGCCUCAGACAUGCAAGUCGAACGAUUAAAGCUCUCUUCGGAGAGUGUAUAGAGUGGCGCACGGGUGAGUAACACGUAAGUAAUCUACCCUCGAGUGGGGAAUAACAACCGGAAACGGUUGCUAAUACCGCAUAAUGCAGCGGCACCGCAAGGUGACAGUUGUUAAAGAUUUAUCGCUUGAGGAGGAGCUUGCGGCAGAUUAGCUAGUUGGCAGGGUAACGGCUUACCAAGGCUACGAUCUGUAACCGGUCUAAGAGGACGGUCGGUCACACUGACACUGAAUAACGGGUCAGACUCCUACGGGAGGCAGCAGUCGGGAAUUUUGGGCAAUGGGCGAAAGCCUGACCCAGCAACGCCGCGUGAAGGAUGAAGUAUUUCGGUAUGUAAACUUCGAAAGAAUAGGAAGAAUUAAUGACGGUACUAUUUAUAAGGUCCGGCUAACUACGUGCCAGCAGCCGCGGUAAAGUCUGUACU